rnacentral:rRNA from 1 species
UGGGGAAUAUUGCACAAUGGAGGGAACUCUGAUGCAGCGACGCCGCGUGAACGAAGAAGGCUUUCGCGUCGUAAAGUUCUUUUAUAUGGGAAGAUAAUGACGGUACCAUAAGAAGAAGCCCCGGCUAACUACGUGCCAGCAGCUGCGGUAAUACGUAGGGGGCUAGCGUUGUCCGGAAUCACUGGGCGUAAAGGGUUCGCAGGCGGAAAUGCAAGUCAGGUGUAAAAGGCAGUAGCUUAACUACUGUAAGCAUUUGAAACUGCAUAUCUUGAGAAGAGUAGAGGUAAGUGGAAUUUUUAGUGUAGCGGUGAAAUGCGUAGAUAUUAAAAAGAAUACCGGUGGCGAAGGCGACUUACUGGGCUCAUUCUGACGCUGAGGAACGAAAGCGUGGGUAGCAAACAGG